rnacentral:lncRNA from 1 species
UGAGCUUAGAGGACCUUACGUUAAAUGAUGGAAGCUGGUCACAAAACGACAGAUACGGCAUGAUUCCACUGAUACGAGGUCUCUCGAGGAGCACAGAGGCAACCGAGGCCCAUCACAGGCGGAUGGACGAGGGGACGACGGCGCGUCACGUGCUGCGGCAGUCCUGGGAGCCCAGAGGGCCUUGGGGACAGACACGCCGAAGCAGGAAGGAACCUCGAGCCAGGAUGUGGAGGGAGAGAGGCCAGACUCCUUGUUGGUGCUGAACGACUCCCCGAGGAAAGGCCGGCGCCCGGUGGCAGCCAAGCAGGGCAAGGGGAGGGACAAAAAGGACAGGGAGGAGCGGGGAAGAGAUGCCCCGGACCUCCAGGGCAGCUUUACAGCAUAGACAUCUGCUAAAGCUGUGUACACAGAGGCAGUUUAUUGUAUGUAAAUUAUACCACAAUAAAGUAAUUACAGUGUAAUGACACUCAGCAACGUGGAGGAAGGAA